rnacentral:rRNA from 1 species
AGUUUGAUCCUGGCUCAGGAUGAACGCUGGCGGCAUGCCUAAUACAUGCAAGUCGAACGGAGUGAAGCCUUCGGGUUUCAUUCAGUGGCGAACGGGUGAGUAAUACGCAGGGAACCUGGCCAUGGCAGGGGGAUACACUCUGGAAACGGAGCAUAAGACCCCAUAGGCAGUAAGGCGGCAUCGCCUUACUGUUAAAGAAAGCUGAAAGGCUUUGGCGAUGGAUGGACCUGCGGUGCAUUAGCUUGUUGGUGAGGCAACGGCUUACCAAGGCGAUGAUGCAUAGCCGGCCUGAGAGGGCGGACGGCCACACUGGGACUGAGACACGGCCCAGACUCCUGCGGGAGGCAGCAGUAGGGAAUUUUCGUCAAUGGGCGCAAGCCUGAACGAGCAAUGCCGCGUGAGUGAGGAAGGUCUUCGGACUGUAAAGCUCUGUUGCCGGGGAAAAAGGGGAAAUGCAGGAAAUGGCAUUUCAUGGAUGGUACCCGGCCAGAAAAGCCACGGCUAACUACGUGCCAGCAGCCGCGGUAAUACGUAGGUGGCGAGCGUUAUCCGGAAUGAUUGGGCGUAAAGGGUGCGCAGGCGGUCUGUUAAGUCUGAAGGCAAAGGGAUGAGCUCAACUCAUUUAUGAUUCAGAAACUGGCAGACUUGAGGACAGGAGAGGGCGGUGGAACUCCAUGUGUAGCGGUAAAAUGCGCAGAGAUAUGGAAGAACACCAGUGGCGAAGGCGGCCGCCUGGCCUGUGACUGACGCUGAGGCACGAAAGCGUGGGGAGCAAAUAGGAUUAGAUACCCUAGUAGUCCACGCCGUAAACGAUGAGGAGCAGGUGUUGGGAGUGAAAUCUCAGUGCCGAAGCCAACGCAGUGACUCCUCCGCCUGGGGAGUAUGCACGCAAGUGUGAAACUCAAAGGAAUUGACGGGGGCCCGCACAAGCGGUGGAGUAUGUGGUUUAAUUCGAAGCAACGCGAAGAACCUUACCAGGUUUUGACAUCGGAUGCGAAGGCGCAGAGAUGCGCUGGAGGCUAUCAUCCAGACAGGUGGUGCAUGGUUGUCGUCAGCUCGUGUCGUGAGAUGUUCAGUUAAGUCUGGCAACGAGCGCAACCCCCGUGGUAUGUUACUAACGCAUUUGGGCGAGGACUCAUAUCAGACUGCCGGUGACAAACCGGAGGAAGGCGGGGAUGACGUCAAAUCAUCAUGCCCCUUAUGACCUGGGCUACACACGUACUACAAUGGCGUCUACAGAGGGAAGCGACCCUGAGAAGGGAAGCGAAACCGGAAAAGGGCGUCCCAGUUCGGAUUGAAGUCUGCAACCCGACUUCAUGAAGAUGGAAUCGCUAGUAAUCGCGGAUCAGCAUGCCGCGGUGAAUACGUUCCCGGGCCUUGUACACACCGCCCGUCAAACCAUGGAAGCCGGCAACGCCCGAAGCCGGUGGCAUAACCUUUUAGGAGUGAGCCGUCGAAGGCGGGGCCGAUGACUGGGGUUAAGUCGUAACAAGGUAUCC